UCGUAUUCAAGCAAAACCGAGCUCUCUGAUACAGGUAAUGAUGUUCCCUAGGUGAUUUUCCAUCGGAUUCAAGCAAAACCAAGUUCUCGGAUAUAGGUAAUGAUGUCCCAUAGUUGAUUUCCCAUUGUAUUCAAGCAAAACCAAGCUCUCGGAUACAGGUAAUGAUGUUCCCUAGGUGAUUUCCCAUCUUAUUCAAGCAAAACCAAGCUCUCAGAUACAGGUAAUGAUAUUCCCUAGGUGAUUUCCCAUCAUAUUCAAGCCAAACCCAGCUCUCUGAUAUAGGUAAUGAUGUUCCCUAGGUGAUUUCCCAUCGUAUUCAAGCAAAACCAAGCUCUUGGAUACAGGUAAUGAUGUCCCAUAGUUGAUUUCCCAUCGUAUUCAAGCAAAACCAAGCUCUCGGAUACAGGUAAUGAUGUCCCCUAGGUGAUUUCUCUUUAUGUCUGAUGUUCAGUGGAAAUUUAUUGCAAACUUGAAGCUAACAAACAUAUUUGCUUCGCGCUUUGGGAAAACCCAGCGUUAUGCAUGUUUGGUCCGCAGUAAUGCAUGUUCAGUCCGCAGUAAUGCAUGUUCAGUCCGCAGUAAUGCAUGUUCAGUCCGUAGUAAUGCAUGUUCAGUCCGCAGUAAUGCAUGUUCAGUCUGCAGUAAUGCAUGUUCAGUCCGCAGUAAUGCAUGUUCAGUCCGCAGUAAUGCAUGUUCAGUCCGCAGUAAUGCAUGUUCAGUCCGUAGUAAUGCAUGUUCAGUCCGCAGUAAUGCAUGUUCAGUCCGCAGUAAUGCAUGUUCAGUCCGCAGUAAUGCAUGUUCAGUCCGCAGUAAUGCAUGUUCAGUCUGCAGUAAUGCAUGUGCAGUCCGCAGUAAUGCAUGUGCAGUCUGCAGUAAUGCAUGUGCAGUCCGCAGUAAUGCAUGUGCAGUCCGCAGUAAUGCAUGUUCAGUCCGCAGUAAUGCAUGUUCAGUCCGCAGUAAUGCAUGUUCAGUCCGCAGUAAUGCCUGUUCAGUCCGCAGUAAUGCAUGUGCAGUCCGCAGUAAUGCAUGUUCAGUCUGCAGUAAUGCAUGUUCAGUCCGCAGUAAUGCAUGUGCAGUCUGCAGUAAUGCAUGUGCAGUCUGCAGUAAUGCAUGUGCAGUCCGCAGUAAUGCAUGUUCAGUCCGCACAGGCUAUUCUGUGACUAUAAGUUCCACUUACACUAUUUCUUCGUAGAAGAGACUUCAAUGAACCUUUUGCAUCUUAUGCACCCAUUUUGAUCUGUGUGUAGUCCUUAAGAAAAUCUGAUUGAAUUAAACACUUUUCUUCCUAGAUUAAAUUUUUAAAGACUCCAAUUUCAACACAAAGACACUGAUGAGCAGCAACCAGCAUAAAACCUGAACAGGCAGCCAGUUACUAUCCGACUGUUAUGGUUUCAUUCUGGUUGCAUUCAGCCAUUUUGAGCUCGGCUGUUUUCAGACAAAACCUGAGGUAUUGUCAUAGCCAGCUUGCUGUGUCGUGUCCGUCGUCGUGUCGCCCACGUCGUGCUAAAAUCUUAACGUUUUGUCAAGGUUUUGAACAUUGGCUCUAAAAUCAAAGUGCUUCCACCUACAACUUUGAAACUUCAUAUGUAGCUGCACCUUGAUGAGUUCUACACGCCACACUCAUAUUUGGGUCAUUAGGUCAAAGGUCAAGGUCACUGUGACCUCUUAAAAAAAAAAAAAAAUCUGACAAGCUUUCAUUUCUUCAAAAAUGCACCCAUAGCCAAGCGUGGCACCCGUAAUGCGGUACUCUUGUUUAUAAACACAUUCCAUUUUACA